rnacentral:rRNA from 1 species
CGGGUGAGUAAUGCAUGGGAAUCUGCCUUUUGGAGGGGGAUAACUACGGGAAACUGUAGCUAAGACCGCGUAAGCAGCAGCGAUGCUGGAAAUGCCGGGACCGCAAGGCCGGCAGCCGAAAGAUGAGCCCAUGUUCCAUUAGCUAGUUGGCGGGGUAACGGCCCACCAAGGCGAAGAUGGAUAGCUGGUCUGAGAGGACGAUCAGCCACACUGGGACUGAGACACGGCCCAGACUCCUACGGGAGGCAGCAGUGGGGAAUAUUGCGCAAUGGGGGAAACCCUGACGCAGCAACGCCGCGUGAGUGAAGAAGGCCUUCGGGUUGUAAAGCUCUUUCGGUUGGGAAGAAGGGUUAUUGUUUUAAUAAAGCAUUAAUUUGAUGGUACCAAAAGAAGAAGCACCGGCAAACUUCGUGCC